GUUCUAACCUUAACCUUUUUGCGCCUCUCUUUUCUCCAUCUUCUUCUGCAUCUGCUAAACCAGAAACUGAAAAAUUCAUAAAAACUAAACUCAAACUCAAACCCGUUUCCCCAAUCUUUUUCAUCUCCAUCCUCAAAACUCAAAUUCUCCAACAAACCCAAAGACAACAACACCAGUUUGUUUCUCAUUAAACAAACCCCUUACUUCACCUUUUGUACCAAGAAACAAAACUGGUCGAUCUGAAUUGUUCUUUGUGAUGCGAUCAAAAGGGGAAAAUGGGCGGGAUUCUUCUCGCUCUCUCACCUAUAAAUAAAGUCCUAAAUCUUUCUGGUUUGCUGACUGACAUCAUGAAAACCAGUACUAAUCAAAGGUAAAUGGCUAACCACAAUGAACAAAGUUCAUCAUCAGCUCCAGCAACUUCAUCUUCAUCUGGUACCUAUCACUAUCAGCUUUUUUCCUUAUUUUGUUUUGUGUAUAAUCUCUUGAACUUCAUCCACCAGUUGUCAUUUGUAAUUUUUUAUUUUGUGCAACAACUCUUUCACUGAAUCCCAGAGUUGUGUUGAUAAAAGAUUUUUCACUCAUUAAGUAUAAGUAUUAGCCUUGAGUAUCUCUUUUCUUGAGUAUCAAAGGAUGAAUAUCAAAGAGAAAACGAGGAUUGUUAGAUAACCUAUCAGGUACAAAGGAAGCUGGUUGUUAUGUACUCAGAACCAAACCGUCACUAGUUCUGUAUCCUAAAUAACUCUUUAGGCGUGAACGACGGUUUCAUCGAAGCAAGUUGUCUGCUUGCACUGGUUUCAAAUGUAGUAAGAUCCACUUGAGACCUGCAAAGCAUGGAAUAAAGUUUUUCAUUAUGAUUGUGGAUUAUUUUGCUUCUUCGUUUUAAAGUUCAUUUUAUUGCAGGUGUUUAUUAAGCAAUUGAGUUGCAUGAAAAUUAUAGGCUCUGUGUGACAUCUUUCUCUAGCAGAUACACCCCUUUCCACAAGCUAUGUACUGAGAAAUUUUCCCUGGUUGAAUGUUUCUUAUCUUAUAAUGAUCUUCUUAAACUUUUUUACUUUUUUCCCUUCAGGCGCUGAAGGAGGCAUUGAAGUGUAUUGCAAUAAGGUUAUUGCUGGGAGCACAAGCCUAGAGCUACUGUUCAGAAGUGCAACAAGGUUAUUUCCCAGUGUGGUUGAAUUGUACUUUUGUUCAGUCAAAAUUUUUUGGAAGCUUAGGAUCUUAGUAGAACUUUAGUUCAUGUUGUAUUUUUCUUUCCUGAGUCCCUUUUUUUUUGGUUUCUUGGGUUUUUGGAUUGAAAAUUUUGUAAUGAGCAAUGAA